rnacentral:rRNA from 1 species
UACGAAGGGGGCUAGCGUUGCUCGGAAUCACUGGGCGUAAAGGGUGCGUAGGCGGGUCUUUUAAGUCAGGGGUGAAAUCCUGGAGCUCAACUCCAGAACUGCCUUUGAUACUGAAGAUCUUGAGUUCGGGAGAGGUGAGUGGAACUGCGAGUGUAGAGGUGAAAUUCGUAGAUAUUCGCAAGAACACCAGUGGCGAAGGCGGCUCACUGGCCCGAUACUGACGCUGAGGCACGAAAGCGUGGGGAGCAAAGCAGG